UGGGGGAUAUUGCGCAAUGGGGGGAACCCUGACGCAGCAACGCCGCGUGAAGGAAGAAGGUUUUCGGAUUGUAAACUUCUUUAAGUGGGGAAGAAAAAGAGACGGUACCCACAGAAUAAGCCACGGCUAACUACGUGCCAGCAGCCGCGGUAAUACGUAGGUGGCAAGCGUUGUCCGGAAUUACUGGGUGUAAAGGGCGUGUAGGCGGGAAGGCAAGUCAGAUGUGAAAGACCGGGGCUCAACUCCGGGGCGGCAUUUGAAACUGCAGUUCUUGAGUGUCGGAGAGGAAAGCGGAAUUCCUAGUGUAGCGGUGAAAUGCGUAGAUAUUAGGAGGAACACCGGUGGCGAAGGCGGCUUUCUGGACGAUAACUGACGCUGAGACGCGAAAGCGUGGGUAGCAAACAGG
rnacentral:rRNA from 1 species